GCAGAUCCAUUUUCUGCCACCGAAUACAUUAGCAUGGGAUAAUGGAAUAGGACCCUGUCCUCCUAUUUUCAGUUGGUUUUGGCAGCGCGAGGACUAGGGUAAUGAUUAAUAGGGAUAGUUGGGGGCAUUAAUAUUUAAUUGUCAGAGGUGAAAUUCUUGGAUUUAUGAAAGAUUAACUUCUGCGAAAGCAUCUGCCAAGGAUGUUUUCAUUAAUCAAGAACGAAAGUUAGGGGAUCGAAGACGAUCAGAUACCGUCGUAGUCUUAACCAUAAACGAUGCCGACCAGCGAUUAGGAGACGUUGAAUACAAAACACCACCAUCGGCGCGGUCGUCCUUGGCGUCUGUCCCUUUCAACGGGGGCAGGCGCGAGGGCGGUUUAGCCCGGUGGCACCGGUGAAUGACUCCC
rnacentral:rRNA from 1 species